rnacentral:rRNA from 1 species
GGGUUAGUAACGCGUGGGAAUGUACCCUUCUCUACGGAAUAGCCUCGGGAAACUGAGAGUAAUACCGUAUACGCCCUUCGGGGGAAAGAUUUAUCGGAGAAGGAUCAGCCCGCGUAAGAUUAGAUAGUUGGUGGGGUAAUGGCCUACCAAGUCUACGAUCUUUAGCUGGUUUUAGAGGAUGAUCAGCAACACUGGGACUGAGACACGGCCCAGACUCCUACGGGAGGCAGCAGUGGGGAAUCUUGGACAAUGGGCGCAAGCCUGAUCCAGCCAUGCCGCGUGUGUGAUGAAGGUCUUAGGGUCGUAAAGCACUUUCGCUAGAGAUGAUAAUGACAGUAUCUAGUAAAGAAGUCCCGGCUAACUCCGUGCCAGCAGCCGCGGUAAUACGGAGGGGACUAGCGUUGUUCGGAAUUACUGGGCGUAAAGCGUACGUAGGCGGAUCAGAAAGUAUGGGGUGAAAUCCCAGGGCUCAACCCUGGAACUGCCUCAUAAACUCCUGGUCUAGAGUUCGAGAGAGGUGAGUGGAAUUCCGAGUGUAGAGGUGAAAUUCGUAGAUAUUCGGAGGAACACCAGUGGCGAAGGCGGCUCACUGGCUCGAUACUGACGCUGAGGUACGAAAGUGUGGGGAGCAAACAGGAUUAGAUACCCUGGUAGUCCACACCGUAAACGAUGAAUGCCAGUCGUCGGGUAGCAUGC